rnacentral:rRNA from 1 species
GGGCCCGCACAAGCGGUGGAGUAUGUGGUUUAAUUCGAUGCAACGCGAAGAACCUUACCAGGGUUUGACAUCCUGCGAAUCUCUUGGAAACGAGAGAGUGCCUUCGGGAACGCAGUGACAGGUUGGUGCAUGGCUGUCGUCAGCUCGUGUCGUGAGAUGUUGGGUUAAGUCCCGCAACGAGCGCAACCCACGUCUUUGAGUUGCCAGCCAUUAGUUGGGCACUCUGAAAGAACUGCCAGUGAUAAGCUGGAGGAAGGUGGGGAUGACGUCAAGUCCUCAUGGCCCUUACGUGUUGGGCUACACACGGUGCUACAAUGGUAUCUACAACAGGAAGCAAGACUGCGAAGUUAAG